rnacentral:rRNA from 1 species
CCUACGGGUGGCUGCAGUGGGGAAUAUUGCACAAUGGGCGCAAGCCUGAUGCAGCCAUGCCGCGUGUGUGAAGAAGGCCUUCGGGUUGUAAAGCACUUUCAGCGGGGAGGAAGGCGUUAAGGUUAAUAACCUUGUCGAUUGACGUUACCCGCAGAAGAAGCACCGGCUAACUCCGUGCCAGCAGCCGCGGUAAUACGGAGGGUGCAAGCGUUAAUCGGAAUUACUGGGCGUAAAGCGCACGCAGGCGGUCUGUCAAGUCGGAUGUGAAAUCCCCGGGCUCAACCUGGGAGCUGCAUUCGAAACUGGCAGGCUAGAGUCUUGUAGAGGGGGGUAGAAUUCCAGGUGUAGCGGUGAAAUGCGUAGAGAUCUGGAGGAAUACCGGUGGCGAAGGCGGCCCCCUGAACAAAGACUGACGCUCAGGUGCGAAAGCGUGGGGAGCGAACAGGAUUAGAUACCCCUGUAGUC